rnacentral:tRNA from 2 species
GCCGAUGUAGCUCAGUGGUAGAGCAGCGCAUUCGUAAUGCGCGGGUCGAGGGUUCAAAUCCCCCCAUCGGCUCCA